rnacentral:lncRNA from 1 species
GGUAACAUGUUUCGGCGUCCUUCCACACUGUCGCGGCUUAUGUUGUUUUGCUGUUUGGGUUUGCACUGUCUUUUUGAGCUGUAACACAGCAAAGGUUUGCAGUUUCGCUCCUGAAAUCAUCGAGACCACAAACCCACCGGGAAGAACGAACAACUCCAGACGCACCGCUUUAAGAGCUGUAAUACUCGUUAGGAAGGUGUGCAGCUUGACUCCUGAGUCAGCGAGACCAUGAACCCAUCAGAAGGAAAAAACUCCGAACAUCAGAAGGAACAAGUUUCAGACACGCCACCUUUAAGAACUGUGAUACUCACCGCGAGGGCCCGCGGCUUCAUUCUUGAAGUCCGUGAGACCAAGAACCUACCAAUUCCGAAUACGUUGGGUUCAAGUGGUUCUCCUGCCUCAGACUCCCGAAUACCUGGGACUACAGGCACCCACCACGCCCGGGAAAUUGGCAACUGAUGAAGGGAAGUGUAUCAGUCCGUUUUCAUGCUGCUGAUAAAGACACACCCGAGACUGGGAAGAAAAAGAGGUUUAAUGGACUUACACUUCGACAUGGCUGGGGAGGCCUCACAAUCGUGGUAGAAGGCAAGGAGGAGCAAGUCACAUCUUACGUGGAUGGUGGUGGGCAAAAGAGAGAGAGCUUGUGCAGGGGAACUCCUCUUUUUAAAAGUAUCAGAUCUCGUGAGAUUUAUUCACUAUUAUGACAACAGCAGAAGACAGACCUGCCCCCAUGAUUCAAUUACCUCCCACUGAGUGCCUCCCUCAACAUGUGGGAAUUACGAGUUAUACUUCAAGAUGAUUUGGGUGGGGACACACAGCCAAACCAUAUUAGGGAGCAGGAAAAAGAAACAAAAACAGCAACUAAUAACUCCCAAGACCACAGCUUCGCUCCUGUCUAGAGCUUUGCUACUUAGCCACAGGAACACGGGUGAUCAUACCUCAACAGAAGUCUGCCAGCAUUCAUUACGACCAGUGCUUAAUCUCAUCUGACAAUAUCAAUGUCAAAAUCAGAGCUUGGAGCUGGCGGUGUUUCAGCAGAGGAGUCUUUGGAGCUUCCACGAACUGGUUCAAUAAACAAUCUUGCUGUGAAACACAGAGCUUGGUAUUUAGAAGGGUUUUAGCUGGCAUAUCCACAAAGCUGCAGCAUCCUGUCCACUGCUAAUUCCACUGUGAAAUGUUGAAAUACAGCUCUUAGCUCCGAGAAAGCAUGUAGGCUUCUAUUUGCAUGCAAAUCAUUGCCAUUCAUGUGUGAACUACAGCAGGUAACAGCUCUGCCAGAUGGAAUAAUUUGGGGUAAGGCCAUCCUCUUUGUUAAAGGCCACAGGUAUCCAUGCAUGCUGCAGUGUAGCUCAUUCCUACUUUCCACGUCACCCCCUGGGGAAUAAUCAUUUUAAUGAUGGGCCUCAAGGAAAGGAAACGCCAUUCUACCCUGUCAUCAUUUAGUAAACAAAAUGGUGCCAAUUAGUGUAAUGCUGACCUAAUGUAAUAUUUGAUGCAAUUAGUAAAUUGAGAGGGAUAAAAAGGAACAUGGUAAAUUGAUAGAUCAAGAAAACUCCCUUGGAUUUUGAAAAAGUACAGAUUGCAUGCAUGUUUCAAGGAAAACCACUGUGGUCUCACCCCAGGUGGCAGUGCCUUGUAGUGGUUAGGAGUGUGUGUCUCUAGAAUCGGAAUGCUUGUGUCUCAAUCGCAGCUCUACCUCUUACUAACCAGAAGACUUUGAAUAAAACUCACACUUCCUAAGUGUCAACUUCAUCAUCUGUAAAGUGAAGAUAGUAGUAGACAAUUGAACUUAAUCCUCUCCUGGUCAUAUGAGGUAGGUCUGAUUUAAGUAGUUGAGCAGCCUGCCUGAUACAUGUAAAGCUUAACAAUAACUAUAAAUAAUCAUAAUUACAAUGAAUAAAAUAGCCAUAGAAGCUAGUUGCAUUAAAUUUAUUUGUAAUAAAUGUAGUAGCUAAUGCUGUACUUGAUCAAUUCACAGAGCUGAUUUCUCCAAUAAAUAGGAAGCUCCUAAGUAUAGAGACCAUGUCUUCUCUUCUUGUCAUCAGUGGUUUGCUCACCAUCUAACACUUAGGAUGUAUUCAACAAAUGGUUAUUAAAUGCACAGGUUUUAAAAUUAGUAGCAUUUUUUGUGUUAUUUAUUCCUUUACCUCCUCCUUCUUCAUAUCUCUUUCUCCUCUGUCAUCAUCAUCAUCAUCAUCAUUUUUUAUCCUCUCUAUUUCCAAAGACAUGGGGAUAAGAUUUGUCCCAGCAGGAUUCAUGCUGGUUACAUGGAAAGCAACACUGUUGAUAUUCAAAUGUCCCCUAAGGCUACCUACCUCCUUAUGAAUCUUUGGUAUCUUUCGUUUGAAUCUCCAGGCAUACUCUUUAUCUUUUCCCAAGCCUGCUCUAUGCAUUAAUUUUAUGGACUCCAUUAAUUAGUUUGCUUAUCUUUUAGUUUCCUGUUGGAUUAAGCCAGUGAGAACCCAGAAGGGUAAGGAGAGAGUUAGGGCAGGUUUCUGUCUUCUGGGUCUAACUGUUUGCCUUUGUUUUUCUCUCUGUGGCUACAGCUUCCACUAGGCAACUUUCUCUUAUAGCUUUAGUGUUCCUCUUUGGAUUCUGGUAUGUACUUCUUUUCCUUGCCAUUCCCUUAUUGGUUUUCCAUCACCCUGCCCACUCUUUAGUAAAUGUCCCUUUCAUUAGUUUCUCCCCUAGGUUGCUCACCUUGAGUAUGUCAUCUGUUACCCAUCAGGACCUUGACUGAUACAGGGUUCUAGAGCAUAUAAACUUCAAUGGUCUGCCACCAAGUCUGUGUGAUAUCUAGUUCCCACUUGCCACGUGGCAGGACCUUAGCAGCAGAAAGGGACAUUUUCUUGCCUUUACAGUGAUCACUAAGUGACGAGAAGAAGAGCAGGUGUCUCCUACAUAAUUGCUGCAGAACCGUUGUUUCUCAGGUCCAGCUGUUUUUGUCUCUUUUAUGCUAUCUGUCUCCAAAUCUCUGAUAUGUUGCUAAUAUACUGCUUAGGCCACCUAUGAGAUAUCCAUGAGGUCCAUUAUGGUGGAUAAUUAGAUUUUAGGGUCAGAAAUCCUGAAAUCAAAGCCUUUCCCAAAUUGCCUAUCAGUCAGAACUCAAAAGGAUUCUAGGACUCAUUUAAAAAUUCAACUUUUUUUUUUUUGCCAUAGAGACAGGGAGGAGUUGCUCAACUAACAUGUUGGCAACUACAGACAGCUCUUUUGUCAUCUGUUGGAUAAGGGAGACACUUAAUCAAACACCUAAAACAAAACAUGCUUGUUAUUUACAAAGAGAUAUGUAAAAGCAAAUAUCAAAUGUUUGCACAAACUUUUUAUAAAAGGACCACAACUUGAGAACCCCAGAAUAAUGUCCAGAGAUGCCUGUGACUUCCAUUUGAAACCAUACUCACUUGGCCGGGCGUGGUGGCUCACGCCUGUAAUCCCAGCACUUUGGGAGGC